rnacentral:tRNA from 1 species
CCGAUCUUAGCUCAGUUGGUAGAGCGGAGGACUGUAGUAUCCCGCAGAUAAAUCCUUAGGUCGCUAGUUCGAAUCCGGCAGAUCAUA